CGCGGUGGUAGCCCCGGAACUCACGCCCGUUCUGGUAUCCCCUCGGGUAUUUCUUCUCCCGGUUAUGAGAUGGAGAACGAGAUCUUGACCAUGACCGAGACCUGGAGCUGUGAACGAAAGGGAGAGGGGGUCUUUACCGGUAGUGGCGCUUCUUUGAUCGGGAUCUGGAGCGACUCCUGGAGCGAGAGCUGGAGCGGGAUCUAGACCGGGACCUGGUGCGGCUCCGAGACCUCGAGGCGGAUUUUGGCGAUCUGGACAUCACUGCGGCCAACCCUCAAACUGAAAUACAACCGAGUUAGGAUUCAAUCAAAUAUACAUUUGGCAAACAAUACAUGUCUUUUUUAGUAACCUUUUCAAGCCAAUUGUAUGAACAAUUGAAAACAUUUAAAGAGAGCCAAGGGUCAAACAUUCACGAAAGGCAAUAUCCGACAGAGAUUAGUCAACCGAGAGAGAUUUCAAAAGCUGAGAGAAGAAACCGAACAGCUGUAAAAAAGGAAGAAGGCAAUAGUGAUGGGCAUCCAAACAGAACGCGUUUUAUUUAGUCUCUGAUCAUUUGCAUAGAGGGCUGUCUUCUGGCAGUCAUCAGCCUGCUUUGAGCCAACAAUUAAAUUCAAAGAUACAGUUAUCAGUAACACUAGUUUGUAUACUCUGCAGAGGAUAUAGUAAAUCACCAGAAAAAUUAUGACUGAAUAAUUAAUUAAUUAAAAGACCACACAGUUUCCAAAUAAGGUGAACAUAGACAGUAUGACUUGUAUUUUACUUUAAAGUCAGUCUCAUGAUGUCAUGUCAUUUCUUUACAUAAUAAACUCAUACAUAUACGUGUCCUUAAUCUCUAAGCCUCACCACUUCAUCACAUGUAUCUUAAAUGCACAAUCCUUAUUUAAUAUACUGUAAUUUAAAACGUGUAAACUACACCCAACUUCGACAGCCGUUGCGAAAGUGAAGAUAGUAAGAUAUGUGGUUUUAAAUAUUGAGCACAACUGACUAAACUGAUCAUUUUAAGGAAGUCAUGAAAAACAACGUUAUGGUAUAGGCUUGUCAAAUACAAUCCAAAGUACCCA